AUACGGAGGGUGCGAGCGUUAAUCGGAAUUACUGGGCGUAAAGCGCGCGUAGGCGGCUUUGUAAGUCGGAUGUGAAAGCCCUGGGCUCAACCUGGGAAUUGCACUCGAUACUGCAGAGCUAGAGUAUGGUAGAGGGAAGUGGAAUUUCCGGUGUAGCGGUGAAAUGCGUAGAUAUCGGAAGGAACACCAGUGGCGAAGGCGACUUCCUGGGCCAAUACUGACGCUGAGGUGCGAAAGCGUGGGGAGCAAACAGGAUUAGAUACCCCGGUAGUCC
rnacentral:rRNA from 1 species